AAAAUAUUCUGUAUAUUUAGUCAUGGAACGUUUUUUUAGGAAAACCAUACACUUCACUAUGUAUAUAUGUUUUGAUACUUGCUGUGAUAAUGACAGGUCACUGGUCAGUUCUAUAUAGGUAUGGUUAGUUCUAAGUUAUCACUGUUUUGAAUUUAGUUCGGAAGUGAGAAACAAUUUGCAUGUGACAGAUCAGUGGAUCAGUCUACAAACAGUAGUGACUAAUCUGCAACAGAAGGAAUUACGUCAACACGCGAAAUCGAAGAUUAUCCACAAAUAACAACGUGAUGUUGCUUCAUAUACUGAAAAAAACCCAAACUGGCUACCUUGAAGAACUUUGAAUCACACCAAUCUCAAUAGGAGCAACAUGUUAUAUUUUGUCAUUCAGGACCUUUCUAAGUAACAAGAUAAACUUGAAGAUCUCUUUGAAGAAGUGGAUCAACUGGAAAACUGAAUGGAGGCAAUAUUCAAUAUAUAGGACACAGAAGAGAUUGAAUAAUAGUGCUUCAAAUUGUCUAUCUUGAAUUUUGACAAAAUUUAUGGAAUACCAUAGAACA